GUCUAUGGCCAUACCACCCUGAAUGUGCCUGAUCUCAUGUGAUCUCAGAAGCUAAGCAGGGUCCGGCCUGGUUAGUACUUGGAUGGAAGAUAUCGAAGAGCAGCCACAGGCC
rnacentral:rRNA from 1 species